AUUUCACAUUUUUUUUUCAUCAAUGCUACAAUCUGAAAAUGUUGAUAUACAAAUAUACUGUCACUUGCUUGGGCUUGGGGUUGAAUUGUAAAAAUAUUUAGGCCUAGCUAGAUAUGGUUGGGCUGGGUAAAAAUUUGGCCUGGUUAAAAAAGAAGUCAAGGAGAACCAAGAUCGACCAAACAUCAAAGUAGCAAAUUACAUGCAAAAGACAAUUUGAAGGCAAGUUCAGCCGUUUAGGUCUUGAGGAGAGACAUGGAGAAAAGUGACAAAAGAGAGAAGGAUGCAUUGCAGUGUGCAGCAGAGAGAGGAAAUGGUAGACAAAAUAACAGUGACACGCGUGCCAGUGGCAAAUCGGUACGUCUGAAAUACGU
rnacentral:lncRNA from 1 species